GAGAGAUGGCUGAGUGGUCGAAGGCGACGGUCUCGAAAAUCGUUGUACGGGCAACCGUACCGAGGGUUCGAAUCCCUCUCUCUCC
rnacentral:tRNA from 1 species